rnacentral:lncRNA from 1 species
UCAAAUCCCUCUCUUUCGUCCUAGAAUCUUUUGAGAAUGGGUUCUAAUUGGUUUUAUUUCGUGAUUUUUGGAGGUUUUAGGAUGAAAACAAACUCGGGUGCAGGAACACCCAUUUCCGGCGAGGAACCCGCCACUUUCGAGUUAAUCUCCGGCCAAACCACGGCGAGUUGGCCGGCGUGCAAGGUAUCAAUCUCUUCGUCUCGUCGAUUACUACAACUUUCCUUUUUGUUUCACCCAAUUUCGUUGAGUAUUGAAGAAGUUAUACUCAUUUGAAUCUUACCCAGUUUCCGGCGAGUCCGACGGCUUUCGAGGCGUUUUCCGGUCAAACCACGGCGAAUUAGACGUCGUGUGAGGUACCAUUCUCUUCGUCUCUUCGAGGGCUACAACUUUCGUUUUUGUCUCGCUUGAUUUCGUUGAGUUUUAACAAAGUUAUAGCCAUUUAAAAUUGGGUGGUUUUCCGGCCGAAAUUCCAGCCUUCUUCUUCCUCGGGUCCGGCGACCCAUCAAACUUGGGCCCUUUGGGCCGUUUCUGUUAAGGGCUUUAAGCCCAAACCCUAAACCUUUGGGCUUUAGGACCAAACCCAAGAACCCAAACCCUAUGACCCAAACCCGGAUCCAAGCCCAGACCCGUUUGACCUGGUCCGACCCGGAUCCUGACCCGUUGACUUUGACCGGUCAACGUUGACUUUUCUAGUUGACUUUUCGGGUUUUCGUCCAAGACCUUCCUAGGCUAAUUUCGACGUCCUGGAUCCGUUUUUGAAGUUCGUUUUCCCAAAUUCAAUCGUUUGAGUAGAGUUUGACUAAAUGGAUCAUUUAUGUGCUUAGGUGAAUUUAAUGACGGCGGUUCCGUUAUUCCUAUUUGGUAUGGCGUUGCACCAACGGUGUACGGUGAGUGGACCCCUUCUAAAAUGCAUGUUUUAUAGUAGAAAUGCAUACAUAAAAAGUAUGAUUUGAUGAUUACCUUUUAUGAAACGUUUUGUGAGAUAACAUGCUUAUUGAGGCUACUUUAAAUUAUUACUAUUUUUCCUAUAACCCGUGUUCUUAUAGAAUAUCUGAUGGAUGACGAUAUGAUAUUAGAACAUGUUUAGAACACCUCUUUAUAGUAUAGAUGAUGGAUGACUUUAUACUAUGAAGUUGUUUUUCAAUAUAUAUGUUCAAUGGUUUUGUACUUACCUAGUGGUCAUUUCCGCUACGGGACGUAGGGAUAGAUUCCGGUCAUUCCCGGGCGACGGUUUGGUGUUGGCAUAGGGCCUGGAGUGUGUUUCCUCUGGCUAUUUAGCACAGGGACGGGGAGCCGGCAUGGGGCCUGAAGUGUAUUUUCCUCUGACUGUCUGCUCAGAGACGGGGAGCCGGCAUGGGGCCUGGGGGUUAUCGGACAAUUCACUAGUGAUUAUUAUAUAUAUAAAAGUUAUGAUUUGAGACACUGCACAUCAUGCUAGGUUUCGGAAAACCUAUGUUUAUCAUUAUAUAUGUGUUUUCAUAAAACUUGGGGGUUAGUACGUUGAUAACUGUUUUGUUAUAUUUAUAUCAAAUUGGUCCACUCAUGUUUGUUUUGCGCCCCCUUCAGGAUUUAGGAUCGAGGCGUACAAUCCCGGCAAUCCAGGCACUUCCGCAUCGGUAUCUUCAAGUCCUCUCGGUGUAGAACCCACUUCUGUGUUCAUUCAAUUUUUAUAUUAAUUCUUUUAAUGUUCUAGAUUAGAUGUGUGCUCUGAACACGUUCCUUAAAUGCAUAUUCUUU